UGAACGCUGGCGGCGUGCCUAAUACAUGCAAGUCGAGCGAACAGACGAGGAGCCUGCUCCUCUGACGUUAGCGGCGGACGGGUGAGUAACACGUGGAUAACCUACCUAUAAGACUGGGAUAACUUCGGGAAACCGGAGCUAAUACCGGAUAAUAUAUUGAACCGCAUGGUUCAAUAGUGAAAGACGGUUUUGCUGUCACUUAUAGAUGGAUCCGCGCCGCAUUAGCUAGUUGGUAAGGUAACGGCUUACCAAGGCGACGAUGCGUAGCCGACCUGAGAGGGUGAUCGGCCACACUGGAACUGAGACACGGUCCAGACUCCUACGGGAGGCAGCAGUAGGGAAUCUUCCGCAAUGGGCGAAAGCCUGACGGAGCAACGCCGCGUGAGUGAUGAAGGUCUUCGGAUCGUAAAACUCUGUUAUUAGGGAAGAACAAAUGUGUAAGUAACUAUGCACGUCUUGACGGUACCUAAUCAGAAAGCCACGGCUAACUACGUG
rnacentral:rRNA from 1 species